CACACUGUAAACGAUGUGCACUAGGUGCUGGUACGGAUGUAUCAGUGCCGUAGCUAACGUGAUAAGUGCACCGCCUGGGGAGUAUGCUCGCAAGGGUGAAACUCAAAGGAAUUGACGGGGGCCCGCACAAGCGGUGGAGCAUGUGGUUUAAUUCGAUGGUACGCGAGGAACCUUACCUGGGUUUGACAUACAGCGUGAUAGGUCAGAGAUGAUCUAGCGCAGCAAUGCGACGCUGUACAGGUGC
rnacentral:rRNA from 1 species